rnacentral:rRNA from 1 species
UACGUAGGGGGCAAGCGUUGUCCGGAAUUAUUGGGCGUAAAGAGCUUGUAGGCGGUUUGUCGCGUCUGCUGUGAAAAUCCGGGGCUCAACCCCGGACUUGCAGUGGGUACGGGCAGACUAGAGUGUGGUAGGGGAGACUGGAAUUCCUGGUGUAGCGGUGAAAUGCGCAGAUAUCAGGAGGAACACCGAUGGCGAAGGCAGGUCUCUGGGCCACUACUGACGCUGAGAAGCGAAAGCGUGGGGAGCGAACAGG